rnacentral:rRNA from 1 species
GGCCCACCAAGGCUACGAUCAGUAGGGGUUCUGAGAGGAAGGUCCCCCACAUUGGAACUGAGACACGGUCCAAACUCCUACGGGAGGCAGCAGUGAGGAAUAUUGGUCAAUGGGCGAGAGCCUGAACCAGCCAAGUAGCGUGCAGGAUGACGGCCCUAUGGGUUGUAAACUGCUUUUAUAAGGGAAUAAAGUGAGUCUCGUGAGACUUUUUGCAUGUACCUUAUGAAUAAGGACCGGCUAAUUCCGUGCCAGCAGCCGCGGUAAUACGGAAGGUCCGGGCGUUAUCCGGAUUUAUUGGGUUUAAAGGGAGCGUAGGCCGGAGAUUAAGCGUGUUGUGAAAUGUAGACGCUCAACGUCUGCACUGCAGCGCGAACUGGUUUCCUUGAGUACGCACAAAGUGGGCGGAAUUCGUGGUGUAGCGGUGAAAUGCUUAGAUAUCACGAAGAACUCCGAUUGCGAAGGCAGCUCACUGGAGCGCAACUGACGCUGAAGCUCGAAAGUGCGGGUAUCGAACAGGAUUAGAUACCCUGGUAGUCCGCACGGUAAACGAUGGAUGCCCGCUGUUGGUCUGAAUAGGUCAGCGGCCAAGCGAAAGCAUUAAGCAUCCCACCUGGGG